rnacentral:lncRNA from 1 species
GAAGGAAACCCUUAGAAUGUUGUUUUCCCCCAUAUUUUUUCUUGUUUAACUCACCUGACUAACUAAUAUUACAAACUCCUCUUCCCCUUAUAUCCUAACAAAACUUGUACUACUCUCUGCUGCUACUCUUUCGAAUGACAUCAAAUUCAUAAUGUAAGUUCUUGCUGAACACUGAACUUGAGAAACUGGUUGGUGGUAGAUGGAUUAACUUAAAAGUUUUCAGUACAUCUUGAAACUUCCC